AGAAACCUCGCUGUACAGCCAGAGUGGGGGAUCCACACAAAGUGUGGAUGCCGCAGGUGAGCUGGGCUUUCUGCUCUGGGGGAGAGAGGGGCUGACGGGGGGACAGGGGGACGGCACAGAAGAGAGGGGCAGAGAAGAGGCGAGCGGCAACCGCCUGGAGCGCACCCUCAGUUUCCUGCGCAAGAUGGCCGGGAACCGCAAG